rnacentral:piRNA from 1 species
UUUACGUAAUCGUUGACGGUAGGACGGU